rnacentral:rRNA from 1 species
AGAGUUUGAUCCUGGCUCAGGAUAAACGCUGGCGGCGCACAUAGGACAUGCAAGUCGAACGAACUUAACCAUUAGUUUACUAGUGGAGCGGUUAGUGGCGGACUGGUGAGUAACACGUAAGCAACCUGCCUAUCAGAGGGGAACAACAGUUAGAAAUGACUGCUAAUACCGCAUAUGCCUUGAGUAUCACAUGGUACAAAAGGGAAAGGAGCAAUCCGCUGAUAGAUGGGCUUGCGUCUGAUUAGAUAGUUGGUGAGGUAACGGCCCACCAAGUCGACGAUCAGUAGCCGGACUGAGAGGUUGAACGGCCACAUUGGGACUGAGAUACGGCCCAGACUCCUACGGGAGGCAGCAGUCGGGAAUAUUGCGCAAUGGAGGAAACUCUGACGCAGUGGCGCCGCGUGCAGGAAGAAGGUUUUCGGAUUGUAAACUGCUUCAGACAGGGAAGAAACAAGACAGUACCUGUAGAAUAAGCUCCGGCUAACUACGUGCCAGCAGCCGCGGUAAUACGUAGGGAGCAAGCGUUAUCCGGAUUUAUUGGGUGUAAAGGGUGCGUAGACGGGAAAUUAAGUUAGUUGUGAAAUCCCUCGGCUUAACUGAGGAACUGCAACUAAAACUGGUUUUCUUGAGUGCUGGAGAGGAAAGUGGAAUUCCUAGUGUAGCGGUGAAAUGCGUAGAUAUUAGGAGGAACACCAGUGGCGAAGGCGACUUUCUGGACAGUAACUGACGUUGAGGCACGAAAGUGUGGGGAGCAAACAGGAUUAGAUACCCUGGUAGUCCACACCGUAAACGAUGGAUACUAGGUGUAGGGUGUGAUAAACAUUCUGUGCCGUCGCAAACGCAGUAAGUAUCCCACCUGGGGA